CUCUUUGCAUAAAGCUUCCUGUUCCUGCCCCACCCCUUAUCUGAGCAAUUAAUAGACCUGUUGCUGACUAGAACUCUGAGACUAAGUUCCAGUUCCUGCUCAUUUUUCCUGUUACCCUGACAUGUACCUUAUUCCUGCUCUUUACCUUAACUCCAGUUAUUGAUUAUGGCUUGACUCCUUGGUGUACCUCUGGGUCCAGUCUGACCCUUGGCAUGGCUUCUAACUCUGACUUCAGCUUUGAUCCCAAUGUGAUUCUGGUUACAACUCUGGUUUAAUUCCUGAGGUGGCUUCUAACUCUGAUCCUGGCUUGGCCCUGUGUGAUUCUGACUCAGGUUUAAUCCUUGCCAAGGCUUCUGACUCUUGGUGUGACUACUGACCCUGAUGCUACUUUGAGCUGUGACCAUUAGGUCAGACUGCUCACAUUACAGAUACUGACAGUUGUGAACAACUUACACUGCAGUCUUGUCCUUUGCUGAGAAGGGAAGAAAGAACACAAUAGCUACUGUUGCAUUUUGGAGGUCUCUCUUUAGAUUUGAUGACUAGUUCUUGGGAAAUUACUGAGAGACAAUUAAGUUGUGUUCAGCUAAAGCAUUUCUUUUGCCAUGUUACUAUAGCUAUUCAUGUAUUCCCAGCUCUCAGUGAAUACAGGGAAGAAAGGAUGUAUAUCCAGUUUCUAACAGUGUUUGUGUGUGACUUGGAACACUAUAGACUGUGUCAGAAUCAUAGAUUUCAUGUUAUUUUAAUUCCUCUUUGAUGUGCCAAAUUGUUAUGUGAAACAUUAUUUUCAGCAUAGCCCUGUAUUUCUCUUAGCUACCUCCUUUGACACUGUGAGGGACUCUACAUCAUCACCACCAGGCAGGGUUAUUUUUCCCACCACUGGAGUGCAACUAAUUUGUUUAUUGAGUUAUUUGUUCAUUUGAAAAUGACUUUAGGUUAUAACUACUUUCUCUUUUAGCUGAUGAUAGAAAACAAAAAUGCAUCCAACCGAAUCCGUUCCUCAAAGAAACAGAGCACAUAAUUAGUUGUUACCUAAUAAAAUUAGGAGGUCAUACAUCAAAGGAACAGAAAUUACACCCGUUCCUCAUCUUGAUUAGAAUUCUCAAAUUUACUGCAGUAUGCCCCUAUUUCCUGCUGGCUGUUCUUCUUCAUCAGUAACAAAUCCCUUUAGAAGUUGUUGAUAAUAAAUACAUGGGGCUGAUUAAACCUGUAAAACAAUUUUGCUUAUUUGCAGUUUCAAUCCUUCUGUGGUUUCUUAUUCAUUCUUUGAAAGGUUUCCAUUUACUGCCUGGGAUUUCCGUGACUGUGAAACUGAAAUACUUAACAAUCAACAAUGAAGGAGGAAAAUGAGUCACUGAGGAGAGACAAGAAUUUUUCAAUAUCAAACUAAGGAUUCUGGGAAGAUCAAGAAGUCAUGCAACAUAUGGGUCUCCUCUGAUGUGUCACGUGUGGAUGGCAUUGGAGCACAAAGCAGGCCCAGCUGAGGAUCUCUGGAAAUGAGAAAUCUGCAGUGAAUGAAGUUACUUUUUCAAAGACGUCCCAAUGUGCUCUCUAUUCAGCCAAGAAAGGGGAAGAAGCCAAGAAAUUGGAGCUUGGGACUCCCCACAGGUGAAGACUACAGGCCAAGCUCUCCUUGCAGGCAUAUACAUGCCUGCAUGGCUUGAAAGUAAAUGGUACAUAAAAUGGAAAAAUCUGGUAUUGUGGUGGGUGCCUGUUUCUGUGCAACUCUGCAAAAAAGUGCUCUUUUUCUCACUGGAGAUUGUGAUGAAAUGUUUGUUUGGCUGCGCACAGUGGAUAGAAGCUGUGUGCUUUCUCUAAUCCUGCUAAUAUUUGGACUGACA